CGGGGUGUAGCUCAGCCUGGCCUAGAGCGCCUGGUUUGGGACCAGGAAGUCGGAGGUUCAAAUCCUCUCACCCCGA
rnacentral:tRNA from 1 species